AUGCAGUCGAGCGGACAGAUGGGAGCUUGCUCCCUGAUGUUAGCGGCGGACGGGUGAGUAACACGUGGGUAACCUGCCUGUAAGACUGGGAUAACUCCGGGAAACCGGGGCUAAUACCGGAUGGUUGUUUGAACCGCAUGGUUCAAACAUAAAAGGUGGCUUCGGCUACCACUUACAGAUGGACCCGCGGCGCAUUAGCUAGUUGGUGAGGUAACGGCUCACCAAGGCGACGAUGCGUAGCCGACCUGAGAGGGUGAUCGGCCACACUGGGACUGAGACACGGCCCAGACUCCUACGGGAGGCAGCAGUAGGGAAUCUUCCGCAAUGGACGAAAGUCUGACGGAGCAACGCCGCGUGAGUGAUGAAGGUUUUCGGAUCGUAAAGCUCUGUUGUUAGGGAAGAACAAGUACCGUUCGAAUAGGGCGGUACCUUGACGGUACCUAACCAGAAAGCCACGGCUAACUACGUGCCAGCAGCCGCGGUAAUACGUAGGUGGCAAGCGUUGUCCGGAAUUAUUGGGCGUAAAGGGCUCGCAGGCGGUUUCUUAAGUCUGAUGUGAAAGCCCCCGGCUCAACCGGGGAGGGUCAUUGGAAACUGGGGAACUUGAGUGCAGAAGAGGAGAGUGGAAUUCCACGUGUAGCGGUGAAAUGCGUAGAGAUGUGGAGGAACACCAGUGGCGAAAGCGACUCUCUGGUCUGUAACUGACGCUGAGGAGCGAAAGCGUGGGGAGCGAACAGGAUUAGAUACCCUGGUAGUCCACGCCGUAAACGAUGAGUGCUAAGUGUUAGGGGGUUUCCGCCCCUUAGUGCUGCAGCUAACGCAUUAAGCACUCCGCCUGGGGAGUACGGUCGCAAGACUGAAACUCAAAGGAAUUGACGGGGGCCCGCACAAGCGGUGGAGCAUGUGGUUUAUUCGAAGCACGCGAGACCUUACCAGUCUGACAUCUCUGACAUCUAGAGAUAGACGUCCCUUCGGGGCAGAGUGACAGUGGUGCAUGAUGUCGUCAGCUCGUGUCUGAGAUGUUUGGUAGUCCCGCACGAGCGCAACCCUUGUAUCUU
rnacentral:rRNA from 1 species